rnacentral:snRNA from 1 species
CUGUUCACUUUAGCAGCACAUGUACUAAAAUUAGACCAAGACAUAGAAGAUUAAUUAGCAUAGCCCUGAAGCAAGGAAGAUACACAAAUUCAUGAAUGUUCCAUAAUUUUU